rnacentral:rRNA from 1 species
AUGAACGCUGGCGGCGUGCCUAAUACAUGCAAGUCGAGCGAACAGACGAGGAGCUUGCUCCUCUGACGUUAGCGGCGGACGGGUGAGUAACACGUGGUUAACCUACCUAUAAGACUGGGAUAACUUCGGGAAACCGGUGCUAAUUCCGGAUAAUUUUUUUAACCGCAUGUUUCAAUAGUUAAAGUCGGUUUUUCUGUCACUUAUAGAUGUAUCCGCGCCGCAUUACCUAGUUGGUAAGGUAACGGCUUACCAAGGCAACGAUGCGUAGCCGACCUGAGAGGGUGAUCGGCCACACGGGAACUGAGACACGGUCCAGACACCUACGGGAGGCAGCAGUAGGGAAUAUUCCGCAAUGGGCGAAAGCCUGACGGAGCAAAGCGGCGUGAGGGAUGAAGGUCUUCGGAUCGUAAAACGAUGAUAUUAGGGAAGAACAAAUGUGUAAGUAACUAUGCACGUAUUGACGGUACCGAAUCAGAAAGCAACGGCUAACUACGUG